rnacentral:rRNA from 1 species
CCUGGUUGAUUCUGCCAGUAGUCAUAUGCUUGUCUCAAAGAUUAAGCCAUGCAUGUCUAAGUAUAAGCAAUCUAUACGGUGAAACUGCGAAUGGCUCAUUAAAUCAGUUAUCGUUUAUUUGAUAGUACCUUACUACUUGGAUACCCGUGGUAAUUCUAGAGCUAAUACAUGCUAAAAACCUCGACUUCGGAAGGGGUGUAUUUAUUAGAUAAAAAACCAAUGCCCUUCGGGGCUCCUUGGUGAUUCAUAAUAACUUAUCGAAUCGCAUGGCCUUGCGCCGGCGAUGGUUCAUUCAAAUUUCUGCCCUAUCAACUUUCGAUGGUAGGAUAGUGGCCUACCAUGGUGGCAACGGGUAACGGGGAAUUAGGGUUCGAUUCCGGAGAGGGAGCCUGAGAAACGGCUACCACAUCCAAGGAAGGCAGCAGGCGCGCAAAUUACCCAAUCCCGAUACGGGGAGGUAGUGACAAUAAAUACUGAUACAGGGCUCUUUCGGGUCUUGUAAUUGGAAUGAGUACAAUCUAAAUCCCUUAACGAGGAACAAUUGGAGGGCAAGUCUGGUGCCAGCAGCCGCGGUAAUUCCAGCUCCAAUAGCGUAUAUUAAAGUUGUUGCAGUUAAAAAGCUCGUAGUUGAACCUUGGGUCUGGCUGGCCGGUCCGCCUCACCGCGUGCACUGGUCCGGCCGGACCUUUCCUCCUGGGAAGCCCCAUGGCCUUUACUGGCUGUGGGGGGAACCAGGACUUUUACUGUGAAAAAAUUAGAGUGUUCAAAGCAGGCCUUUGCUCGGAUACAUUAGCAUGGAAUAAUAGAAUAGGACGUGUGGUUCUAUUUUGUUGGUUUCUAGGACCGCCGUAAUGAUUAAUAGGGAUGGUCGGGGGCGUCAGUAUUCGGCUGUCAGAGGUGAAAUUCUUGGAUUUGCUGAAGACUAACUACUGCGAAAGCAUUCGCCAAGGAUGUUUUCAUUAAUCAGUGAACGAAAGUUAGGGGAUCGAAGAUGAUCAGAUACCGUCGGGUAGGUAUUAGGAAAUUCCUGAUAUCAGAAAGAAACCGAAGUGCUGACUAAGCUUUUAGGCUGCAAUGGCAUUUUAACUCUCUUACUGAUAACAGAAGACUCAUUCCACAAAGUCUACAAAUUUCCGAGCUAGUACCUGCGCGACAU